ensembl:lncRNA
GUGAGUUAAGAUGUGACUUAGGGCAGUUUUUUCCCUUUUUUGAAAGGAAGGAGGCAGCAGAAUCUCCCCACGCAGAGCACAGCGCUGCCCCACGCGUGCAGCCUCCACGUGACCUCCUGCGGCAUGUUUCUCCUGCGGCUGAGAAAAUCCCACCAGGCAAGCGAUGGAAUCUACACUACCAACGUCCUAAGAGUGCACACAGCAUAAUCCUGCUCCGCUUUACUUCGGGAGGACCGUUUCCCAUUUUGGUUAAGGAGAAGUUCAUAAACACCGAUGGGAGAGAAAACACGACUGCGUUGAGUGAUACGGACUCCUGUUGAAGUCAUUAUUGAUACAGCACCCCAAAGGUUUGGAGGAACUGAUUCAGUGGGUGGUGCUGGGAGAAGAAGGCCCAGGUCUCAGCAGGAGAUCCCACCACUCCCACCCCAACCUGCCCCACGUGCCAGGCAGCAGAGAGCCAUUCAUCACAAGCGUCC